CAGGCAGAUGUCGUUAUUCACAGCAGGGUUGGGGUACUUGGGGUACCGCGCUAGGAAUUUGUGGCAUAGCAACCCCAAGCUCUUCUCCUUCCGACUCGGCUGGGAUUUCUCAAAUUCGUCUCCUGAUAAGUGUUCCUGCAGAGGGAAAGCAGGUCAACAGCCUUCCAACAGCUCCGGGCUCCACACUGACCGUCCCUUCAUCCACAAGCCCCCAAACGCCACCCAGCCUCCCUGUAAACCUACGUGCAAACAGUCUCUAGCUUCAGGUGCCCUUCUACUAUGGACUCCUCCCUCUGACCCCCACCUUGUGAUCCCAGAGAACAGGAGAGAGAAGACUUUGUCCUCACUUGGUCUUCCCAGCAUCUAGCCCUGACCAAGGAGAGGAAGGGCUCGGUGAACACUGAUUGGCUAAGGUUCUACCUUAGCAGGCUAUCCUACCAAGUAGCGAGGAUGCUUUUCUCCCCGCCUGAAGCGUCAAGUGCAAUUGUGAACACGCACCAAGUGCUCAGUAAGGGAUGUGAACCUGUUUUGUACAAAUUGGUGGCUUGUUUGGGUUCUUCAGAAUUGUGGCUUCUGAUUCACUGGAGGUGGCUGUGCCCCUACCCCGCAACCCCCUGAAGUGGCUGGCAUUGGUGCAAAUGAGGCUGUUGAACCUGAUCGUGUUCUCUCUGGCCUUGGACCUGAGUGCUGCAGAGAGAGAGAGAGAGGGAGACUCUGAUGGCUCUGAAGAUCAUGGCCCUUCCCAUAUGAGGUUCUAGGCAGUAUUCCUGAGCCGGUCUCUUGCUCACUCCCCAGCCCUUUUGAAUACCCCUUUUCGGUAUGAAUUUGAUGAUCUAAUUUGACUAUCUCUCAAAUGCUCAGGUGUGUUACAGUUUUACUCUUCACUGUAUCAGUUUGUCACACGGUUAAGAGAGCAGGAUCUACCCUUCACUCGGGGUCAUUCUCUGCAUCCUAGCUGAUGUUCAGUGAAAGCUCCAAGGGUUUGUCAAUGUGGAAACUGGUUGGCAGUCAAUCGAUGGUCUCGCAGCCACAGUUAGAGAUGAGCUGCAUCUGGGUCUGCCCAUGUGCUUUUAGAAUAGGCUGAACUUUAUAACACAUUCAAUCUUUGGAAUAAACUGCCACCGUUUUAUUGUUAGUUGAACUAUAUACAAGGUUGCUGGGGUAGGAUAUUUCAGGGGCAGAGUGCUUGCCUAGCAUGCAUGAGACUGUAGGUGGACUCCAUCCCCAGGACCAAAAUAAUAAUUUUAUUCAUAGAGGAAGAUGUUUGCCUGGGUUCAAUGCCCAACAACUCCAGCUUUGGAGGAUCCAAAUGCUUCUGUCUUCUGAGGUCACUAGCAUGGACAUAGCCCCUACCACACAUGUACACACAAUUAAAAAACAAAGCAUAGGAUUUGGAGUAAAACAGACUUUGCUUUUAAAGCCCCAUAAUAAUAUUGCAAUGCUGUAGACAUGAACACUUUCUCAACAACCCCCAUACACAUAUACUGAAAGAGAAAUUAAAAUAUAACCCUGAGUGGGCCUUACAAGGAGAAGAUGAGUUAGUGCAUGAAAAACAGCAGUGUUUAGCAUGUGCUAAAUAAAGAAAGCUGUUAUAUAUUGCCAUGUGUAAUCUAAUCCAAAACAAUCCAUACAUGUGUGUAUCUGGAUUUGCCUUUAAAAAAAAAAAUGUUCUAAUCACCACAGC
rnacentral:lncRNA from 1 species